rnacentral:rRNA from 1 species
ACGAGCGCAACCCUUAUAACUAGUUGCCAAUAUUCAGUUAGGAACUCUGGUUAGACUGCCGUGGACAACACGGAGGAAGGUGGGGAUGACGUCAAAUCAUCAUGCCCCUUACGUCUUGGGCUACACACGUGCUACAAUGGCUAUUACAAAGAGCAGCGAAACAGCAAUGUCAAGCGAAUCUCAAAAAGAUAGUCUCAGUUCGGAUUGUGGGCUGCAACCCGCCCACAUGAAGUUGGAGUUGCUAGUAAUCCCGAAUCAGAAUGUCGGGGUGAAUGCGUUCCCGGGUCUUGCACACACCGCCCGU